rnacentral:lncRNA from 1 species
CAGCGUCUCUCGCUCGCAAAUGCAGGCCCAAUCUUGAUCGGGCGAAAUUCUCACUUGGGAAUUCGCACACACUCCAACCAGGAGCAACUAAGACCCCAAACCACGUCAAGUCCUCGGGUUGGGUCACAACCAUACUCGGUGUACCAUUGGUCACACAAUCUAUCACGUGGCAUUCCACGCUCCCGGGUCUAAGCUCGGACUACCGUCCUGACCAGAACUCUGCCCUACCCGUAGGUACCGGGCCGCUGUCACUCACAGCUGACUGCGCCUGCCUGAUGGGCCCAGGCUCUACAGUCCACAAACGGUCUAGGCACGGGUCGUCCCCAAGCACUACUCGCCGUCGUCGUCCUACACGACAUGCUCUACCGAGUCACACGUAUCACUACCGGCUACUAUGCACCUAAUGCGAGUCACUAGUCCCACGAGUGAUCCAUGGUACGCUUCACACCUAGCAAUGCUCAAGUGCUACUGCCAAUACACUCUCUCAGCUGAAUCCACAUCCGCACUCUACGGGUAUCUACACUCGAGCGCUCUACGCCUCUACAGCGUUCCACACGAAGUCCAGCAUUAGGCAAUCUUG